rnacentral:snRNA from 1 species
GUGCUUGCUUCGGCAGCACAUAUACUAAAAUUGGACGCUACAGAGAAGGUUAGCACGGUCCCUGGGCAAGAAUGACACACAAAUUUCUGAUGGGUCCAAUAUUACA